rnacentral:rRNA from 1 species
ACGCACGCUGGCGGCGUGCUUCACCCAUGCCAGUCGCACGGAAAGGCCCUGCUUUUGUGGGGUGCUCGAGUGGCGAACGGGUGAGUAACACGUGAGUAACCUGCCCUUGACUUUGGGAUAACUUCAGGAAACUGGGGCUAAUACCGGAUAGGAGCUCCUGCUGCAUGGUGGGGGUUGGAAAGUUUCGGCGGUUGGGGAUGGACUCGCGGCUUAUCAGCUUGUUGGUGGGGUAGUGGCUUACCAAGGCUUUGGCGGGUAGCCGGCCUGAGAGGGUGACCGGCCACAUUGGGACUGAGAUACGGCCCAGACUCCUACGGGAGGCAGCAGUGGGGAAUAUUGCACAAUGGGCGGAAGCCUGAUGCAGCAACGCCGCGUGCGGGAUGACGGCCUUCGGGUUGUAAACCGCUUUCGCCUGUGACGAAGCGUGAGUGACGGUAAUGGGUAAAGAAGCACCGGCUAACUACGUG